GACGAACGCUGGCGGCGUGCCUAAUACAUGCAAGUCGAGCGAAGUUUUUCUGGUGCUUUCCCUAGAAAAACUUAGCGGCGAACGGGUGAGUAACACGUAAAGAACCUGCCUCAUAGACUGGGACUACUAUUGGAAACGAUAGCUAAUACCGGCUAACAGCCUUAGCUGCAUGGUUGAUGUUUAAAAGUUGUUUUUGCUAACACUAUGAGAUGGCUUUGCGGUGCAUUAGCUAGUUGGUGGGGUAAAGGCCUACCAAGGCGACGAUGCAUAGCCGACCUGGGAGGGUGAUCGGCAAAACUGAGACUGAGAAACGGCCCAGAUCCUUACGGGAGGCAGAAGGAGGGAAUCUUGCGAAAGGGGCGAAAGCCUGACGGAGCAACGCGGGGGGAGUGAAGAAGGAUUUCGGUUCGUAAAGCGCUGUUGUUAGGGAAGAAUGAUUGUGUAGUAAAUAUACACAGUAGAGACGGUACCAAACCAGAAAACCACGGCUAACUACGG
rnacentral:rRNA from 1 species